GGAUCCAUCCAUUCCCAGUUUUGUGUCCGUAUGGGGACGUCCACCCACUGGGAUCCAUCCGUUCCCAUUUCCGGGUCUGUUUAUGGACACUGAUCCACUGGGAUCCAUCCGUUCCCAUUUUCAGGUCCAUAUGGGGACAUUGAUUCAAUGGGAUCCAUCUGUUCCUAUUUCUGGGUCCAUAUGGGGACGUUCACCCAUUGGGAACCAUACAUCCCCAUUUCCGGGUCUGUUUAUGGACAUUGAUCCAUUGGGAUCCAUCUGUUCCCAUUUCCGGGUCUGUUUAUGGCCAUUGAUCCAUUGGGAUCCAUCCGUUCCCAUUUCCAUCUGUCUGGGGACGCGGAUCCAUUGGGAUCCAUGGGUUCCUCCCUUCGUGUCCCUUUGGGGACAUCCACCCACUGGGACGCGUCUGUCCCAGCCCCAGUCCCACUGGGGGACGCUGAUGGUGGGGAUCCAUCCAUUCCCACUGCCAGUCCCACUCCGAUCCCAUUGGGAUCCACCCCAACACUUCCAUAUCCAUUGGGAUCGCUCCAAUUCCAUUGGGAUCCAUCCCAACGCCUCCAUGUCCAUUUGGGAUCGCUCCAAUCCCAUCGGGAUCCAUCCCAACACCUCUGUGUCCAUUUGGGAUUGCUCCAAUCCCAUUGGGAUCCAUUCCAACACCUCCGUGUCCAUUUGGGAUCCCUCCAAUCCCAUUGGGAUCCCUCUGAUCCCAUUACUCUGAUCCCAUUGGGUUCACUCCAAUCCCAUUAGGGUCCCUCCGAUCCCAUUACUCCGAUCCCAUUACUCUGAUCCCAUUGGGUUCACUCCAAUCCCAUUGGGUUCACUCCAAUCCCAUUGGGUUCACUCCAAUCCCAUUAGG
rnacentral:lncRNA from 1 species